rnacentral:rRNA from 1 species
ACGUAGGGGGCGAGCGUUGUCCGAAGUUACUGGGCGUAAAGCGCGCGUAGGCGGGGGGUUAAGUGGGAGGUGAAAGGCUGGGGCUCAACUCCAUGCAGUGCCUCCCAUACUGGCCUUCUUGAGGGCGGUAGGGAGAAGUGGAAUGGCUGGUGUAGCGGUGAAAUGCGUAGAUAUCAUUUGGAACGCCAAUGGUGAAAACAGCUCGCUGGGGGUGUGCUGACGCUGAGACACGAAAGCCAGGGGAGCGAACGGGA